GUGCACGCUGGCGGUAGGUCUCACCCCUGCCAGUCGAACGGCAGCACAGUAAGAGCUUGCUCUUACGGGUGGCGAGUGGCGGACGGGUGAGGAAUACAUCGGAAUCUACUUUUUCGUGGGGGAUAACGUAGGGAAACUUACGCUAAUACCGCAUACGACCUACGGGUGAAAGCAGGGGAUCUUCGGACCUUGCGCGAUUGAAUGAGCCGAUGUCGGAUUAGCUAGUUGGCGGGGUAAAGGCCCACCAAGGCGACGAUCCGUAGCUGGUCUGAGAGGAUGAUCAGCCACACUGGAACUGAGACACGGUCCAGACUCCUACGGGAGGCAGCAGUGGGGAAUAGUGGACAAUGGGCGCAAGCCUGAUCCAGCCAUACCGCGUGGGUGAAGAAGGCCUUCGGGUUGUAAAGCCCUUUUGUUGGGAAAGAAAAGCAGCAGGUUAAUACCCCGCUGUUCUGACGGUACCCAAAGAAUAAGCACCGGCUAACUUCGUG
rnacentral:rRNA from 1 species